rnacentral:rRNA from 1 species
GCCAGCCGCCGCGGUAAUACGUAGGUGGCGAGCGUUGUCCGGAUUUACUGGGUGUAAAGGGCGUGUAGGCGGGAUUACAAGUCAGAUGUGAAAUACCGGGGCUUAACUCCGGGGCUGCAUUUGAAACUGUAGUUCUUGAGUGCCGGAGAGGGAAGCGGAAUUCCUAGUGUAGCGGUGAAAUGCGUAGAUAUUAGGAGGAACACCAGUGGCGAAGGCGGCUUUCUGGACGGUAACUGACGCUGAGGCGCGAAAGCGUGGGGAGCAAACAGGAUUAGAUACCCUGGUAGUCCACGCCGUAAACGAUGGAUACUAGGUGUAGGAGGUAUCGACCCCUUCUGUGCCGGAGUUAACACAAUAAGUAUCCCACCUGGGGAGUACGACCGCAAGGUUGAAACUUAAAGGAAUUGACGGG